rnacentral:lncRNA from 1 species
AUAGGUGGGGCCAAUGAUUGGUUUAUUUGUGAGGGACCUAUCCUGGGAAAAUUCUUCUGAAAACCUGGUGGACCACCUUGAUGUUGAAUAGGUUCAUUUUGCUUGUAUGAGAAAUUUGGGUGGAACCUAUUAUCAGGGUGGUAGACUGGGCUGAAUGAAUUGGGAGUGGGCUUCUUGAAGGCACUAUAUGAGUUUAGAGCAUUUGCCUGCUCAGCCUUAAUGUUGGGUAAACUAGGGCAACACUCCACUAGAUGCUCAGAACUGUUACACAAGAUACAUAAACUUUGUGACUCAUGAUCCACUUUCAUGAUGG